GGAGGAGUCGCAUAGUUGGUCUAGUGCGCAGUCCUGGAGAGACUGUUCUCGAGAAAUCGAGACGCAGGUUCGAAUCCUGUCUCCUCCG
rnacentral:tRNA from 1 species